rnacentral:rRNA from 1 species
AUUGAACGCUGGCGGCAGGCCUAACACAUGCAAGUCGAACGGUAACAGGAAACAGCUUGCUGUUUCGCUGACGAGUGGCGGACGGGUGAGUAAUGUCUGGGAAACCGCCUGAUGGAGGGGGAUAACUACUGGAAACGGUAGCUAAUACCGCAUAACGUCGCAAGACCAAAGAGGGGGACCCUCGGGCCUCUUGCCAUCGGAUGUGCCCAGAUGGGAUUAGCUUGUUGGUGGGGUAACGGCUCACCAAGGCGACGAUCCCUAGCUGGUCUGAGAGGAUGACCAGCCACACUGGAACUGAGACACGGUCCAGACUCCUACGGGAGGCAGCAGUGGGGAAUAUUGCACAAUGGGCGCAAGCCUGAUGCAGCCAUGCCGCGUGUAUGAAGAAGGCCUUCGGGUUGUAAAGUACUUUCAGCGGGGAGGAAGGGAGUAAAGUUAAUACCUUUGCUCAUUGACGUUACCCGCAGAAGAAGCACCGGCUAACUCCGUG